UACGUAGGAUGCAAGCGUUGUUCGGAAUUACUGGGCGUAAAGAGUACGUAGGCGGUGAUAUAAGUCUGAUAUUAAAAACUAGAGCUUAACUCUAGGGAUGUAUUGGAAACUGUGUCACUAGAGGACAGUAGAGGAAGUCGGAAUUCUCAGUGUAGCGGUGAAAUGCGUAGAUAUUGGGAAGAACACCGGUGGCGAAAGCGGACUUCUGGGCUGUUACUGACGCUGAGGUACGAAAGCGUGGGGAGCAAACGGG
rnacentral:rRNA from 1 species